AUGUCGAUCGUUCUCUUUAUAUCUAGGCUACAUGAUUACGACCAUCUUAGGAUGAGUGUUUUUUGGUUCAGAUUGUAACGGGCAACGCGCGUCAUUGAAACGUUGUUAACGAGCAAGUGUAUAAUGAUAAAGCUAAUAAUUUGUAUUAAACUUAUUUAGGAAGAAACGAAAUAAUGCCGUCGUGUAUUGCGUUAAAUUGUACGAAUGUAUCGGCAGAGGCUCGUAAAUCAAAAAGACAAAAAUUGUUAGAGAAGAAAUACAAAGUAACUUUUCAUAGGUUACCAAAAGAUCCAACGAAACGACAAAAGUGGCUCGAUAGCCUGUGUAUUCCAGAGCCCAGAGGCGCGAGUCCUAUGAUAUGCUCAAUUCAUUUUCCAGAAAAUGCGUUCGACAGGACGUCCCAGUCUUGUGUGAGACUCAGAGAGUUUGCAAUACCAUAUCACAUUACAGGGUCCCUUGGAUGAGGAGUUUCACAUUACAUUGCACAAGUCCGAUCAAAGCAGAUUGCCCCAAUCUCUGAAGCAGAAAACUGUAUCACAGAUUAAUCACCAAGAGGUGGAAGAUGACCCUGAGGAAGUAAAAUAUUUGGAUGAGGAAAAUUUUAGUGACGACGAUGAAAAAUUUGAUGAAUUAUCCAUUUCUGAGGGUAUACCAUAUCUUAUCGAUGACACUAGUGAAAGAAAAUUAUAUGUCGACCGGUCCACCUCAGUGUCGCCGAGAGACUUUAUCAAUGAUGUACCACUAAAGAAGGAGCCCAAAGUAUCUGUAACGCGAUCGACAUCGGUUUCACCCCAACACACUGAAGACAGUACAAAAACGCAAUUUUUCCGCACAGUAUUGAUGAAUACGAAAAAAAUGUAUGUUCAUAAAAUAAAAAUGCUGCAGCAAAAGCAGCGUAGAACAGCAAAUAAAUUGGCAAAUAUGCGGGCUAUUCUGAACGUAUUAAAGAAAAAAAAUCUUCUCGGAGCAAAGGAGCUUGCCAAUCUUCAAGAGAACGUUCUUGCAUCCUGAUAUUAGUGGAACGCUGAUCUUGGUUCUACUUGAAGACAUUCUUCAAUGGAUAUACAGCUUGGUAGCCACAUUCAUUGCAGAAUAUAGGAAUCGAAGGUCCAGACCUUGAAAAAUCCUAGUCUCUGCUUAGUUGAAGACUUCUGCGUGUCUUUGGAAAAAAUGUCUAUUAGAUUCAUUCUACAGCACCAGGUACUGGAUUUACGGACGUUAGUGUUUCAAGCAAAACAUGAAAUGCACUGUGACGUUUUGGCUGGCCAUUCCUCUCCUGUUGAUUGUCGAGACAUUUCAUCACUGAUGUUAAUGCAAAAUUCUUGAAGGGCAACAUUCAUUGCGAAAAUUGCAUUGGAGCAAUAUUGUAACACAAAACAGAUACUUGGAAAUGCAUGCCGGGAAAAAAAUUUCAGAUUGCGGAUACAAUUUCGGAUUCUCUUCGCACAAUACUGUACAAUUGAUGUAUAAUGCGAUAUAAAUAACAUUAAUGCGAUUCUAUGGUCAACAAAAAUUUCAAAAAUGAAUGUAAUAUUUUACAGUAAUAAAACUAAUAGAUUUUACGUAA